CACAGCUUCACGAACCAACCGUUUCCUUUUCCUUGGUUCCAAUAUUAGUUGAACGACCACAAAAAGAACAACGUUAAUUCCCAUUAAUCCCCAUGUACCCCAGGUACUUGCUUGCCGGAUUUUAUCACUCCAAACUUGUUCUUCGUGGUAUCUCGAUAAAAUCGAACGCACCAAUCCAUUUUGAGCUUCCUCUACCCGCCUUUCCGCUACAUCCACAUCUUCUUGAGCCUUAAUUUCUUCUUCUUUGUUUGAAUAAUCAUCACGGUAUAGUUUAGUAAAUCUUUCUAAAUCAAUAGUAGACCAGCUACUACGUCGUUGUAACAAUUCGUUGACUUCACGUUGACUUGACGAUCUUUUUUCAACCGCUUCAAUAUAACGCUUUCUUGCUUCAGCUGCAGAUAAUCUAAAAUCACGGAGCUUUGUCUCCUGCUUUACAACCGCGUUCUUUAAUGCCUCAAUGGAGGAAUAACCAGUUAAUUCAUUCAAGCGUUGACUCGCUUGGAGUAUAGUCUGUUGAACUGAUCCAUUUCCUUUAUUAUAGAUUUUGGGAAAGCGAGCAGCAAAUCCCUUAAUAGACUGAGAAAGUCGUUGCAACAUACUUUCUUAAUACUUAUACAUUACUGUUAUAUCCUUUCAUGUCUUCAUAUAGUGAGUUAAACAUAAUGUACU